GCGCCCGUAGCUCAGUGGAUAGAGCAUCCGCCUUCUAAGCGGAGGGUCGUUGGUUCGAAUCCAACCGGGCGUG
rnacentral:tRNA from 1 species